CUUGAAACGGAUUUCUGCUGGAGGAGCGGAGCGGAGAGAGGAGGGACUGUUUUCUGAUGUUGGGGAGCCGGGAAGCAGGAACUGCGGGCGGCGGGGACGCGGAUGCCGGGUCUCAGGGGCCACCGGGGCCACCGGGCUGGGCACUCGGAGGGGAGGAGGUACCGCCCCGCCGUGCAGGGUGUCGUCUCACCGGCCUGGUCAGCUGGAAACAGAGACCGUUCAGGACUUCAGCCCUGUUUGCUGCAGCCAACGCGGUGUUCUGGUGUGUGGCCUGCAGCUCGGUGCGAGCCUACAGCCUCGUGGCGUCGCUGCUGGUUCUGAUGCUCGUCACAGUGACCGGCAGAGACAUCGCCUGCUCCCGAUAUAAAGGAGCUCAUUUAUGGAGCAGCAUGACUGCAAGGUAGGACACUGAAAUGCAUGUGAUCUGGAUGCGGAGCUGACUGGUCACAUACGAAUGUCUAAUCUAAUCCUCGCUGAGAACGAACCAUGUGACGACUCAAACACUGAGACUGUUUCAGUUUCAAGUCACAAAUCACACACUCACCUUGUGAUACACAAGUGUUUGCACAUUAGUGCUGAAACAGCAGUCGAUAGCUGCAGCAGAGGACUGAAAAAUGGUCUUUUAAUGUGUUUUAGGUUUAUGUUUUUAUGUUCAGUUGUUUACUUCCUUCCAAAUCGGUUUCCUCUAUGGG
rnacentral:lncRNA from 1 species